AGGUUACUGCUAUCGGUGUUCGCUUAAGCCAUGCGAGUCAUAUGUUCUUCGUGAACAUGGCGUACUGCUCAGUAACACGUGGAUAACCUGCCCUUGGGUCCGGCAUAACCCCGGGAAACUGGGGAUAAUUCCGGAUAACGCACAUAUGCUGGAAUGCUUUAUGCGUCAAAUGGAUUCGUCCGCCCAAGGAUGGGUCUGCGGCCUAUCAGGUAGUAGUGGGUGUAAUGUACCUACUAGCCUACGACGGGUACGGGUUGUGAGAGCAAGAGCCCGGAGAUGGAUUCUGAGACAUGAAUCCAGGCCCUACGGGGCGCAGCAGGCGCGAAAACUUUACAAUGCGGGAAACCGUGAUAAGGGGACACCGAGUGCCAGCAUCAUAUGCUGGCUGUCCGGGUGUGUAAAAUACACCUGUUAGCAAGGGCCGGGCAAGACCGGUGCCAGCCGCCGCGGUAACACCGGCGGCCCGAGUGGUGAUCGUGAUUAUUGGGUCUAAAGGGUCCGUAGCCGGUUUGGUCAGUCCUCCGGGAAAUCUGACGGCUUAACCGUUAGGCUUUCGGGGGAUACUGCCAGACUUGGAACCGGGAGAGGUAAGAGGUACUACAGGGGUAGGAGUGAAAUCUUGUAAUCCCUGUGGGACCACCUGUGGCGAAGGCGUCUUACCAGAACGGGUUCGACGGUGAGGGACGAAAGCUGGGGGCACGAACCGGAUUAGAUACCCGGGUAGUCCCAGCCGUAAACGAUGCUCGCUAGGUGUCAGGCAUGGCGCGACCGUGUCUGGUGCCGCAGGGAAGCCGUGAAGCGAGCCACCUGGGAAGUACGGCCGCAAGGCUGAAACUUAA
rnacentral:rRNA from 1 species